rnacentral:rRNA from 1 species
UACGAAGGGGGCUAGCGUUGCUCGGAAUCACUGGGCUUAAAGGGCGCGUAGGCGGGCGGCCAAGUCGAGGGUGAAAGCCCCCAGCUCAACUGGGGAAGUGCCUCCGAUACUGGCCAUCUCGAGGGAGAUAGGGGCGUGCGGAACUUCCGGUGGAGCGGUGAAAUGCGUAGAUAUCGGAAGGAACACCGGUGGCGAAAGCGGCGCGCUGGAUCUCUUCUGACGCUGAGGCGCGAAAGCCAGGGGAGCAAACGGG